rnacentral:misc_RNA from 1 species
AAGUGUUACAGGUUGUUUUCAACCUGCAGCUGCGGCUGCCUACGGCAUGAGCGCUGAGUUCUGCCAAUUUGAUUUUGUGAAGCUGAUGAGAAAUAGAUGGAAAAUAUAUCAUGUACAUGACUUAGUAGCAGCAUGCAAAAACAUGAAAAACGAAAUUAUACGGAGGGUAAUUUCUAGGGUGGGGUGUUUUGAGCUGGGUCGCCCCAAGCAGCAAUAGCUGCAGUAACUCUACAGUUUCAUUUGAGUUGGACAGCUUCGGCUGAUUCAUAUGGGUGUUGCGCAAAUGCGACACCUACGGUAGAGCGCACUAGUUCUAUCAAUCUCAUUUGGCUAUACCUGGUAUGCAUAUACCUACGUACAGUCGAAAACCGACAGGGUGUCUACCCGUCUGAUGCUCUUACGGUGUGCUAAUAGUUCUUGAAUUGUUAGUCCAUGCCGCUGGGUGACGGGCUGUGCUGUCUUCGGACAGUGCUAGGCUUAAUGAGUGGUGCUAGCCAAGGCUUAUCCACCGCCCUGUCUGAUUGUUUCCUAUCAUUUUACACUGUUUAAGUGGUUCAUGCUUCGGCUUGGAUCAUUGACCCAACAUGCACCCAGCCUCGUGCUGGACUGCAUGUGCAGGUUCBCCUGGCGGUGCCUUAUCCCGGGCUGGACUUGCUAAUUAUACAUCGUUCAUCUUGGUGACGAGAUGUGCGAGGUGAG